GACAUAGAUCAACAUAGAACAAGAAACUUGGAACAUAGUUUAUCGGACAGAUUGCAUCGAACCCAAAAGACGUUUUGUCGGAUUUUAUACUACAAAGAAAAUAAAAUGAGAUAAGGGGAGGUGGUUGGAGCUCAUCGCUUGCGGUUGGCAUCGCAGCGGCCCAUCUCCGUAUAUGCAUCUACGGCGGGAGGGUCGUCGUCGUCAUCUAUGUUGGUGGUGCCUCUCUCCGAUGCUGACAAAAUGUAGCUGGAGAGGCGGCGGAGGAGGCGUUGUUGCUCCUUCACGUGGCGGGCGACCUUGGUGGCGGUCGACUCCUCCCUCGCGAGGCGCUCGGACGCCUCGAGCUUGAGGCGGAGCAGCUUCGUGUUCUAGCACCGGAGUCACCUCAUGUCGGAAUCCGUCGUGGUCAGCAAGCGCCACAUGACCUUGCGGAGGAGCGCCUCCUCCGGGUCGACGGGGCUGGAGCAUGCCCACUGGCAGGAAGAGCCGGGCUCCGACGCAGUCGCUGCCCCGCUGUCGCUCGCAUCGAGCCGCCUUCGCCUUGGACUCCCAUGCGCGUUCGCACGAGAGCCGCGAGCACGAGCACCUACCGCUGCCAAGGCUUUGCUAGCGUCGGAGGGGAAGGGGAGACGUCCGCUCGGCUCCGGAUCUGGAGCGAUGCGGAGCGGAACGGGUGGGCGCGGCCCGCAUCCCACCGGCAGUGUGUGGAGGAACUGGGGGUGGACGCGAUCGAACUCGAGCUCCGGCCGGUGUCCAGGCGCGAGCUCCACCUCGUACAACGCGUCGCUACUGGAUCUGUCGUCCUCCUCCUCGUUCCAGUCCAUGGAAUCGCUCUUGCUGUCGAGUCCUGGCCAGACUUGGCCAUGGCUGAGGGCGGAUUUGGGAGGAAGCGGAGGAGACGAGGGAAGCGGAACAGACGAGUGGACCGACAAAAGUGAGGGUUUGACUCCGGUUCGUCCGAUGGGUUGGGGUAUUUGUGAGGGCAUUGGCGGGGAUGGCGUGAGCCCUAGCUGGCCGAUCCGACAUGGCGCCCGUGUCCAGGCCUGUCCGGAUGUCCUCAUAUCAGCCCCAGAUAGAGUAUGAGGAGUAACGAUCAGUCCGAUCAUUUGAAUGAGGUAUGGGAUAUCCGG
rnacentral:rRNA from 1 species